AUUGAACGCUAGCGGGAUGCCUUACACAUGCAAGUCGAACGGAGUGGCGAACGGGUGAGUAAUGUAUCGGAACGUGCCCAGUAGCGGGGGAUAACUACGCGAAAGCGUAGCUAAUACCGCAUACUAUUGGAGAGGCCGAUAGCGGAUUAGCUAGUAGGUGGGGCAAAGGCUCACCAAGGCGACGAACCGUAGCUGGUUUGAGAGGACGACCAGCCAGACUGGCACUGAGACACGGCCCAGACUCCUACGGGAGGCAGCGGGGAGGAAUUUUGGACAAUGGGGGAAACCCUAAUCCAGCCAUCCGGAGUGUGCGAUGAAGGCCUGCGGGUUGGAAAGCACAUUUGGCAGGAAAGCGGUACCUGCAGAAUAAGCACCGGCUAACUACGUGCCAGCAGCCGCGGUAAUUC
rnacentral:rRNA from 1 species